rnacentral:rRNA from 1 species
UACAGAGGGUGCGAGCGUUAAUCGGAAUUACUGGGCGUAAAGCGCACGUAGGCGGCUUGGUAUGUCGGGUGUGAAAUCCCCGGGCUCAACCUGGGAACUGCAUCCGAAACUGCCUUGCUCGAGUAUGGGAGAGGGAAGUGGAAUUUCCGGUGUAGCGGUGAAAUGCGUAGAUAUCGGAAGGAACAUCAGUGGCGAAGGCGACUUCCUGGACCAAUACUGACGCUCAGGUGCGAAAGCAUGGGGAGCGAACAGG